rnacentral:rRNA from 1 species
AGUGAACGCUGGCGGUAGGCCUAACACAUGCAAGUCGAACGGCAGCACAGUAAGAGCUUGCUCUUACGGGUGGCGAGUGGCGGACGGGUGAGGAAUACAUCGGAAUCUACUUUUUCGUGGGGGAUAACGUAGGGAAACUUACGCUAAUACCGCAUACGACCUACGGGUGAAAGCAGGGGAUCUUCGGACCUUGCGCGAUUGAAUGAGCCGAUGUCGGAUUAGCUAGUUGGCGGGGUAAAGGCCCACCAAGGCGACGAUCCGUAGCUGGUCUGAGAGGAUGAUAGGCCCACCGGGAAUUGGGAAGCGGGCCAGACCCCAACGGGGGGCCGAAGGGGGGAAAAUGGGAAAAGGGGCGCAACCCUGACCCGGCAAAUCCGGGUGGGUGAAGAAGCCCUUGGGGUUGUAAAGCCCUUUUGUAGGGAAAAAAAAGCAGCAGGUUAAACCCCCGUUGUUCUGACGGUACCAAAAAAAUGAGCACCGGCGAGCUGCGU